rnacentral:lncRNA from 1 species
UGAGAGUGGCCCAGGACACUAGUUCUCUUCAUGGAGCACAGAAGCAGCAAGAGAAAGCUAAGCUUAUGAAUGCAAGCCAACAUGUUCCUGAAUAUAUGUCCUGCAACCAGUGGACAUCUGAACAGACGAAGAAGGCAUAUGGGUGUGCAACACUGAAGAAAACAGAACAUUUUCAUAACAUCUCAGAGGAGUAAAAUGGUUUGAAGAAACAGAAACAUAAUCUGUCAAUGGAGUGGAGCCAGUGACCGCUGGAAGAGACCAUUGGUAGAGAAAAGAAUCUGGUAUAUAAAAAGAAAAAUAGAAUAAUCUCCUUUGAAAAGGGAUUUUGAGAAGCACAUGAGUCUGAGUCAGAGCCACAGAAGAAAUCCAUCUAAGACAAAACCAUAGCCACAUAUCAAAAGAUAUUUUUAUAUGUCUGAACAUCCAUUUUUACCAUCUCAGUUGCUGUAAUAAAUUGCAUUCCAGCAUUCUUACUUCCCUUUUC